rnacentral:misc_RNA from 1 species
AAGUCGUAACAAGGUUUCCGUAGGUGAACCUGCGGAAGGAUCAUUAUCGUAGGGCUUCGGCCCUGUCGAGAUAGAACCCUUGCCUUUUUGAGUACCUUUUUCUGUUUCCUCGGCAGGCUCGCCUGCCAAUGGGGACCCAACAAAACACUUUGUAGUACCUGUAACCGUCUGAACAAACAAACAAAAAAUUAAAA